GCACUCGUGGGUGAAUUGGCACAUCACUCACCAUAAAUAUCAAGCUUAUUGUAAAGGCUUCGAUGUGAAGGGGGUUCGAAUCCCUCCGAGGGCA